CUGUGUGCUGUAUGAGUUGUGCAUGCUGGAGGCUGCAUUUUCAGCAUUAAGCAAAACUGAUUUAAUUUCCAAACUGAAGAUAGAUCCAGCCCCACUCAUCUCAACGCAUUUCCCAAAUUUUUGUCAUCUUGGGAAAGAUCUCCUGCAGAUGUUUGCAGUGAACAGACUGUCUGUCAAUGACAUACUGAAGAAACCAUUCAUUCUAAAAUUCUGUAUUCAAAAGUUCAAGAAAAUUGUUGAAGAACUCCAGCAAAAAGUGAAUGAGCUGGAAGACAUUCUUCGCCAAAUGGAGCGC